rnacentral:rRNA from 1 species
AUUGAACGCUGGCGGCAUGCCUUACACAUGCAAGUCGAACGGCAGCACGGGAGCAAUCCUGGUGGCGAGUGGCGAACGGGGGAGUAAUAUAUCGGAACGUGCCCAGGCGUGGGGGAUAACGCAGCGAAAGCUGUGCUAAUAACGCAUACGAACUAUGGAUGAAAGCGGGGGAUCGCAAGACCUCGCGCGAUUGGAGCGGCCGAUAUCAGAUUAGCUAGUUGGUGAGGUAAAGGCUCACCAAGGCGACGAUCUGUAGCUGGUCUGAGAGGACGACCAGCCACACUGGAACUGAGACACGGUCCAGACUCCUACGGGAGGCAGCAGUGGGGAAUUUUGGACAAUGGGCGAAAGCCUGAUCCAGCAAUGCCGCGUGCAGGAUGAAGGCCUUCGGGUUGUAAACUGCUUUUGUACGGAACGAAACGGUGAGCUCUAAUACAGUUUGCUAAUGACGGUACCGUAAGAAUAAGCACCGGCUAACUACGUGCCAGCCGCCGCCGUAA